rnacentral:rRNA from 1 species
AGGAAGGUGGGAGUGACGUCAAGUCCUCAUGGCCCUUAUAGGUGGGGCUACACACGUCAUACAAUGGCUGGUACAAAGGGUUGCCAACCCGCGAGGGGGAGCUAAUCCCAUAAAGCCAGUCGUAGUCCGGAUCGUAGUCUGCAACUCGACUACGUGAAGUCGGAAUCGCUAGUAAUCGUGGAUCAGAAUGUCACGGUGAAUACGUUCCCGGGUCUU